AACAAUAUUAUCAGGAAAUGGAAUCAAAGGUUGCUUUUCUCGAACCCUUUCAAUUACUUGCUCUUUCUGCCAGUGUUCAAUACCGAUCUUAAUACUUCAAGAACAAAACUUUUGCAUUUUACAGGCCUCUUACAAGCGCAGAAUCUUUUAACACAACUACCUCAGCAAAGCCAAGCCAACCUCCUGCAGUCUCAGCCAAGCAUCACCCUCACCUCACAGCCAGCAACCCCAACACGCACAAUAGCAGCAACCCCAAUUCAGACACUCCCACAGAGCCAGUCAACACCAAAGCGAAUUGAUACACCCAGCUUGGAGGAGCCCAGUGACCUUGAGGAGCUUGAGCAGUUUGCCAAGACUUUCAAACAAAGACGGAUCAAACUUGGAUUCACUCAGGGUGAUGUUGGGCUCGCUAUGGGCAAACUCUAUGGAAAUGACUUCAGCCAAACUACCAUCUCUCGCUUUGAAGCCUUGAACCUCAGCUUUAAGAACAUGUGCAAAUUAAAACCACUUCUAGAGAAGUGGCUAAAUGACGCAGGUGGGUAACUACAUCACAG